rnacentral:rRNA from 1 species
AGGAUAAACGCUGGCGGCGUGCCUAACACAUGCAAGUCGAACGCGCUUUCGGGCUUCGGUGCGAGAGCGAGUGGCGGACGGGUGAGUAACACAUGGGUACCUACCUUGGAGUGAGGGAUACCGGCGAGAAAUCGCCGACAAUACCGCAUAGGCUUCUUCACAAGGGAAGCAAAGUGACGCGAGUCACGCUUUGAGAUGGGCCUGUGGCCGAUUAGCUAGUUGGGGGGGUAACGGCUUCCCAAGGCGACGAUCGGUAGCUGGUCUGAGAGGACGAUCAGCCACACUGGGAUUGAGAACGGCCCAGACUCCUACGGGGGGCAGCAGUGAGGAAUUUUCCGCAAUGGAGGCAACUCUGACGGAGCAACGCCGCGUGCAGGAGGAAGGUUUUCGGAUCGUAAACUGCUUUUCUCGGGGACGAGCAAGGACGGUACCCGAGGAACGAAGCCCCGGACUAACUACGUGCCAGCAGCCGC